CAUAGCGACUAUCGUGGCAUAUCAAUAAGCGGAGGAAAAGAAACUAACUAGGAUUCCCUCAGUAACGGCGAGUGAAGCGGGAAGAGCUCAAAUUUGAAAUCUUCAAGGUUCUACCUUGACGAAUUGUAGUUUAAAGAAGUGUUUUCUGUUGGAGUUUUGGUAAAAGUUCUUUGGAAUAGGACAUCAUAGAGGGUGAGAAUCCCGUAUUUGACCAUUAUUUCCAACUUUGUGAUACACUUUCAAAGAGUCGGAUUGUUUGGGAAUGCAGUCCAAAAUGGGUGGUAAAUUUCAUCUAAAGCUAAAUACUGGCGAGAGACCGAUAGCGAACAAGUACCGUGAGGGAAAGGUGAAAAGAACUUUGAAAAGAGAGUUAAACAGUACGUGAAAUUGUCAAAAGGGAAGCGUUUGACACCAGUGUUGUUUUCUCGAAAAUCAAUUAAAAAUGGUGGGAUUUUGUGUUGUAUUGACUUUAUCAGCUUUCUGCACUUUUUUCCUGUCUUUUUUAAUGCACUUUUCGUUUAACAAGUCAACAUCAAUUUCUUUUGCUGUAAAAGAGUCAUUGGAAGGUGGCUUUCUUUUCGGAGAAAGUGUUUAAUAGCCUUGUACCUUCUGCAAGUCGGAGAGAUUGAGGUCUGCAGCGUAGAUCCUUCGGGGUUAGAUACAUUGGUGCUAAGCUAUAGCCUUGUAUAGACAACUUGUUGACUAUGCUCAGUCAUGUAGCUUACUCGCUGAUGCUAUUUUACCUACGCUUAGGAUGUUGAAGAUAUGCGCGACACG
rnacentral:rRNA from 1 species